rnacentral:ncRNA from 1 species
GAAGGGAGCUUGUUGCAACAGGCUGAGAGUGAGCUAGGUAGUUCAGACCUUUAACCUGAUUUGGAUAAUGCCAACGUAGGGAAGAUGAGAGUUU